AGCGAGCUGAAUGCUUCAACAGUAUGCUGAAGAAAACAUGGAUCAAAAAAUGUCAGGUGACAUUUGAGGCCAUGAUGGAAUCUGGUAUGUUCAAUUUGGACAAUCCUGUACACAUAAAUUGUCUGCAAUAUACACACCUUCCCCUUCUUGAGAGAGAGCUGAACAUAGAGCAAAGACUGUGGAACACUCAUGACAUUCGCAAGCAAAAGGAAUGUUCCAGGUCCAUUUGGGAAACCAGACCUUCUCUUUACUUCCCCUGCC